CCGAAGCAGGCUCCAGGCUCUGAGCUGUCAGCACAGAGCCCGACGCGGGGCUCGAACCCACGAACCGCGAGAUCAUGACCUGAGCUAAAGUCGGACGCUCAACCGACUGAGCCACCCAGGCGCCCGCAGGGGCGCUUUCUAAAACACAUUGGUCCUAUGACAGUUGAAGAGCAGACCCCACAUCUCCCAGGGCUUGGGGGCCUGACUCCCCGAGGCAGCUGCCAGGGACACUGUAGUUGCUGGGUUGGCGAGACCCUGAGGCAAAAUCCGCAGCUAAGCUGAUGAGCCAGGCUAGGCCUCCCCAAGUCAACUCCAUCCCAGUGAGACCUGCUUAGUGUAUGCUGUGUAGACAUUCUCGAGAGAACAGAAAUCCAAACCCGACACCUGAUGGUUGGGGCAUCCAGAGAAGCCAAACACAGCAAAUGCCAUCAUCCCAGAGACUUGUCCCCCCAUGAUGUGAGAGUCAUCCCUAACAGGAGCCGGGGAGGAGGAUGCCACAGCCCCGGAGCUUGUCAUGGGAAACGUCUUCGCAGUGAGGGCGCGUGUCCCUGGUGGCUCCCGGCCUGGGAUGGAGCCCCGACAGCAGAACUUGGCCAAACAAGGGUGUGUCGUGGGCGUGUAUGUUUGGGGGGGGGGUUAGCCUGCUGCUGAGGGCCCAGGGUCGCUCCUCUGUUCGCCUCCACCCCACAGAUGUGGCGGCCAGAACCGGACAUCUCUGGGUUGGCAUCCCCAGUCCUGGCACCUGCUUGCCCAGGCAGCUGCAGGAGGUCAGGGUGGGCACCAGCCAGGCCGGGAACGGCCUCGGGGAGGAGUCGCAGCACCAUCCCAAGACCUCAGGGCAGAGUGGCUGGGUCAAGCCAUGUGCGGCAUAGCCUGGGGACAAGCCACUGGUGAGGAGUCACCUCCUGAGGCCCUGAGGGGCUGUAGGGGACCCCCCCCCCGACCCACCUCCUGGGGAUGCAGGGCCUGGGUCGCAGGCCCAUGGGUCUCUUCAGCUGUCGCCUUCCAUAGCCCCUCUCAAAGAGAGCGGGAAAGGAAGCCCACCCUUCAUUUAAUCUGCACGACCUUGGUGAGGGGGAGACUCCAUCAUCGUCCCAUUUUGUGGAUGAAGAAGCUGGCUCAGAGGAGAAGUAACCCAUCCUGGGUCCAACGGCCAACCCGGGCAGACCCCGUGCUCCCCUCCCACCCCCCACCCCCCACCCCCCGGGGGAGCAGGCGGUGAACUCAGAGGGCCAGGACCGAAAUUGUUUGUUUGUUUUUUAAAAAUUUUUUUUUCCUGUUUAUUUUUCAGAGAGAGAGAGAGAGAGAGGGAGAGCAUGAGUUGGGGGGCGGGGCAGAGAGAGAGCAGGGACAGAGGAUCCUAAGCAGAUGAUGUGCUGACAACAGAGAGCCCUGCGUGGGGCUCAAACCCACGAGCCGUGAGAUCAUGACCUGAGCUGAAGCCCGACGCCCAGCCGACUGGGCACCCUCGAAAUCUUUUAAUGAGGAGUGAGGCAGAGCUGGGUCCCCGCCUGGUGUGGGUGCUGUAGGGGCCGGGCGCAGGGGCGGGGGUCGUGACACGAGGCUUUGGCUACUCCUGUUGGGACUCUUUCUCGCCCUGUUCCCUGGGCCACAGGAAGGUGGAGAAUGAACUAACACCACUCCCUCCUCACUCCUCCACGAAGCCACCUGACCCUCUGGCUACUGCUCGCCCCCCGUGAGCUCCUGUAAAUUGUGGUGGCCCCUCUUUUCCGCCUCCCACGCCAGAGACUGAGUGACCCCAGUGCCCCUUCUUUGGACAGGGUCAGCGAUCUCUGGACCCGCCAGGCCCUGGGACGGCCCCCGGGCCUGUUAGGAGCCAACCUGCGUGUGUUGCGAGGUGUGGCGCGGGGGACCGGGCACUGAGGGCGCAGGGCAGUGAGGUCUAUGCCCAGGAGAGCCCCCGUCUGGCCCCAAGGAGCUGACUCAUUCAGUCGUCAGCGAGAUGCAGUCCCAUGAGAGUAAAACGCAGACUACGGUGAAUGAUAUCUGGAGCUCUUAACUCUUUUUGUUCUUUCCAGACCCAUCUGGGGGUGUCUGACAUUUUCCAUCGCCUCACCCUGCUGGCAUCACGGGGUGGGCGGCGCGAGCGUGGAGGGGUUACCCGGAAAAGCGUAACAUUUCCAGCUACUUCCCAAGUGUCCGUGCUGUAUUUUUGUGGAUACCUUUCUUCCCGCCUACUGUGAAUCCGUAAUUUCCUUUCGGGUAAUUCUCCGUCGCCACCCUACGUGCUCCACUCCCUCCCCACCCCCACGUUCUGGCAUAAACCCACACCCUGAGGAGCGCGGCUCUCCAUGUGAGAAGGCCAUCCUUGGGAAUUCUGAGAGACAUCUGGUUCUUUUUUUUUUUUUUUAAUUUUUUUAAAUUGAAGAGAGAAUGAGUGCAGGUGGAGAAGGGGCAGAGACAGAGGGUCCCAAGUAGGUUCCACGCUCAGCACAGAGCCGGAUGCGGUUCGAUCUCGUGAACCGUGAGAUCAUGCCCUGAGCCCAAAUCAAGAGUCGGAAGCUUAACUGACUGAGCCACCCAGACGCCCCUUAGAGGGAUCAAGUUCUUCAAACAGCCCGGUGUUUGCGAAUCAGAAGUGCUGUCCGACUAUCGGUGCAGCCAGAGGUAGACGAAGCCUACCCGAGAGCCAGAAGGCUGAGAACUUGGAUCUGGAAGGCACGGGGUCGGGGUCGGGGAGGGAUCCUGCCACUGGUACCCGUAAGGGAAGGAGGCACCGGCAGCCCCAGGGGCCACCGUUCAUCACCGUCUUCGUAAAUGGCUCGCGUCCGCUCUGAUGGUCAUCGGAGAGGUAGCGUUUUGAGGAGGAGGAGACUUUGAACUUGAAAGUGAGCCGGAGGGAGCCUAGGGGGCCGGGAAGUACAGGAACAGCCACGUCGUCAUCACAAUACAACGUUGUCCCAGAGGCGCAAUGUCAGACGAGAGGCCAUGCAGGCAGUGAGCGCGAGGGGAUUUCAGGAAGAGGAGAGGUCACCCUUCUCCGGCCCCGGAGGGUGACGGCAGGGAGGCAGAGCCACAGUGGGUUUUGAGGAGGGGGUGGAGUGGGCAGAUGAGGGGGAGAGAAAUGUCCAGGUGGGGUUAUGAUGUGUGCAAAGGGCUGAGAGCGCGGAUGGUCACAGUCCUGUCGCGGGGACAGCCGCGAGGUCUUCUCCGAUGGCGGCAAGGCCUCGGUUGCAGAAGGGCUGCCUGGCACGGUGGUGUGGACUGGUUGGGGGCGUCCUCAAGGCCUGGCUGGAGACCAGGGUCAGUGGGUGUCGAAGGAGGCUCACUGGGGAGGAGGCCCGUCUACAGGGGGAGGCGCUCCUGGGAUUAGGCCCAAGUCCACACUGUGCCCGGCAGGGGGGCUGGCAGUGUGUGUCACAGGGAGGAGGUCUCAGCCAGGAGACAUCCUGGAGGGGAGGCUCCAGGCCUUCCGGCUGUGGGAGGCGGUGGGCUGGAAGCUGAUCAGACAGCAAGAGGAAUGAGGCCAGAGGGGAGCCACCUGAAGGGCUUCAGGGUGGUGGUGUCCAGUAGGAGGCAGGUGCCGGAUGCCUGGAGGACAACAGAACGCUCAGGGACGUCGGUGGUUAUUCAGAGGCCACUGGGCAGAGGUGACCCUGCCCGAGGUGAGCACCUGCGAGGUGGCCUCUCUGGGAGAGGAAGGCACCCUGCAAACAAAGCAGGAGCAGCCUGGGGAAGCCCGUGGUGGGAGGUCACUUCAGUCGCCCAAAAAACUGCUUGAGAGUUGCAGCGGUCCCAUGCACGGCUCUGACCGUGCCACGGGCUGGUGAUUUCUCAUUGUUCUGUGACUUCGGUUUCGGUUUUGUGAUGAGUGCUCAUGAACCCCAGCCCGGCGAAACCCCACAGCCCUCUGGAAGCAGUGGAAGGGAAAACAGAAAUCCAAAGAACCAGCUUGCUUUACAUCCGGAGGGCCAAAUACUGAGGGUCGUAGACUGACCUUGACCUUGGGUUGUCUCCCCCACCCAGCCUCCCCGACGCCUGCACCUGGGCCUCCCCGGCAUCUGGGAGGGAGCCACAUCUGGGUGAAGAUUUUCCGCGCAGCUCUGCUCUCUUCCAACUAAAUGAACGGGCUACUUUCAAAAAUGCUGCUGUGGGAGAAACGCAGGCACGUGUUUUUGCUCCGAGCACCACGGGUUCUCCGGCGUCCGCACCACCACGUUCAUGCACUCCGUGGUCCCCCUGCAGCCCCCACCCCCUAAUUGUGAGAACAGUGAGAAGCAUUAGCUGCUGUGGACUCACCACCCUUCUUUCUCUGAGGGCUUCCAACCGCCAGCAGAGAUCAAUAAAUUAAGAUAAAAUGACGUUUGGCUUUGUGUGGGCUCUGUUGUCAGAGAUCUGCUGGGGUUGAACGGAGAUUCUGUUUCCUUCUCCGACUCUUAAACGCUCAGGCUGCUUCUGGCUUUCCUGUCGGUGCCUCCUCUCACCCAGACCGUUCUGACACUUUGACUUACCGAUCAACUUACUGUUUUUUUUAACCCACGGUUUUUAAAAAGUUGAGCGCACGUGCGCACACACUUGAAGGGAAAGAAAAACAUGCUACCCAACAAGCCAUGUGUCAGAACCGACUAAGCUCUGAGGCUUGCCCUCCAAGAGUGAGGGCUGGGAUGAAAAUUCUCCGUGUAGCCGAUUAACACAGAUCGAACUUUUUUUUCUAAGUAUAUUUAUUUAUUUUGAGAGAGAGAGAGAGAGAGAGAGAAAGCAAGUGAGGGGGGUGCAGAGAGAGGGAGAGAAAGAGAAUCCCAAGCAGGCUCUGCACUGACAGUGGGGUUUGAACUCACGAACCAUAAGAUCGUGACCUGAGCCAAAACCAAGAGUCAGACACUGAGCUGACUGAGCCAUCCAGGUGCCCUCACAGUUGAAUUUUUAAUAGUUUGCAGCCCUGCCUGCUGUAAAUACUUUUUUGUCUCAGAGGAUGAAUACCUCCUAUCGUUCUGUCAAGACAGUGUGUCCAUUUCAGAGAAGGUGUGGCUUUGGAAAGGCAUUUGUGUGUCUCCAGUACUGGAGGGAUCAGUGGGACUUUCCUGUCCCCAGCCUUUGUCCUUGUCUUUUUAUCCACCUGGAUGGUCACUAAAUGCCCAGUGCAGGAGAACGGAGCGUCUCUGAGGUUGUCCUGGGCAUAAGUUCUGAGACUAUUGUUAAUGCAAUCCUGGCUGAAGGAAGAAGUUUCUUCUGGUGGAAUUUUUGAUUUAAGAUAAGGUCGUGGAGGGGCGCUUGGGUGGCUCAGUCGGUUAAGCAUCCGACUUCAGCUCAGGUCAUGAUCUCGCAGUUUGUGGGUUCAAGCCCUGCAUCGGGCUCUGUGCCGACAGCUCAGAGCCCGGAGCCUGCUUCAGAUUCUGUGUCUCCCUCUCUCUCUGCCUCUCCGUCACUCACACUCUGCCUCUCUCUCUCUCUCUCUCAAAGAUAAAUAACAUUAAAAAAAAAAGAGAAGAUAAGGCCGUGGAGACUGAAGUUAGCAGUGUGGUAUGGAUACUACACGGCCACCCUUACUUCUCUAUAGGAACCUUGGUUUUUGCUUCUGGGUCUCAGGAUUUGCUCAACUCGGGCCACAUGCCAUGAGGGGCCUGGAGGAGAUCUCUGGAGGAGGUCCUGCCUGGGAUAAGCUGAUGAGUUUACAGAGAGUUUACACAAUACCUGCUGGGUAUUGUGCCGCAUUUGCUUGGAGGAAAAGGUACACACUUACCAGAUAAUGAAUGAUUCAUACCCACCAUUCAGCCCAACUCCAGAAAGUUCCUGGGACCUUGAGAACACAUUUGCUGAGCAUUCACACAUGGGCCAGGGAUUGCGCCGUCCGUGGUGGACAAGGCCAUGGCUUGGCUUUUGGGGUCUAUUAUCUCGGGCAAGUGAGCAGAUACGUUUUGCAAAGGUCCAGAUGGUAAAUAUUUCUUGCUUUGAGGGCCCUGUGUCUUUGUCACAGCUACUCAACUUGGUUGUAGUGUGAAAGUAGCCACAGUUGAAUGGCAUGAUGUGUUCCAAUAAAACUUUAUUUACAAAACA